rnacentral:rRNA from 1 species
AGAACGAACGCUGGCGGCAGGCUUAACACAUGCAAGUCGAACGCUCGUAGCAAUACGGGAGUGGCAGACGGGUGAGUAACGCGUGGGAACAUACCCUCCGGUUCGGAAUAGCUCAGGGAAACUUGGAUUAAUACCGGAUACGGCUGAGAGGCGAAAGAUUUAUCGCCGGAGGAUUGGCCCGCGUUCGAUUAGCUUGUUGGUGAGGUAACGGCUCACCAAGGCGAUGAUCGAUAGCUGGUCUGAGAGGAUGAUCAGCCACAUUGGGACUGAGACACGGCCCAAACUCCUACGGGAGGCAGCAGUGGGGAAUAUUGGACAAUGGGCGCAAGCCUGAUCCAGCCAUGCCGCGUGAGUGAUGACGGCCUUAGGGUGUAAAGCUCUUUCGCUCGGGACGAUAAUGACGGUACCGAGAUAAGAAGCCCCGGCUAACUUCGUGCCAGCAGCCGC